rnacentral:piRNA from 1 species
CACAAACUUGAGAGCCCAUUGU